rnacentral:misc_RNA from 1 species
GUUUGUUAAACAUCUAUGCUCUGGACAGUAUCGCUACAAAAUUGGUCCAUACACGAGCAAGGAAAUCCUAUUAUAAUACCCCAACAACUUGAAGCGAUUAUUUCAAAUAACAAUGAAUAUUUGAAUUCAACACAACCAAAUAAAUUUGGGUUUUCAAUAGGAAUACACUGCAGAAACUCUCUUUUUCUGCUUUUUCGCGAAAUAGUAUUACACAAGGCACAAGCUGUAUAUUGUCCUAAGAAUCACUAAUGAAUAUAAUACAAUCAAUACACCUAACAAAACUGGCAAAUUCCAGAAGCUGCAUAUGUUGACCAAAAUUUCAGAUACAAUAGCUACUGAUUGGCAUGCCAAUAGAACUAACAUCAAUGUUCAGCUGUAGUUGCUCUUGAUCAAGUUCAAUGUAUAAGAGAUUGGCUGCCAGGCCUACAGGGUUCUUUAUUUUGGUAAUCACGAACACAAUGGCUUUUCCUCCAAACUCGCCAGGCACUUCUCUAAUUUAAAAGAAUUGUAAGUUUCCUAUAUUCAACAAAUUCAAUGUACAAUUAAAUUCUGCUUCUUAUCUUUUAGCCUCAAACCAUGUUCUCCAAUGAAUAUAUCAUUCAUCCUCAUUGCCAAGUAAAGCAAAUGAAAAUGGGUGGAAUUUGUAUCCAUCUCCCUCAUAGAACUUGUUCUGGAACUCUACCCAGUGAAGCCUCAAGGCAUGCAGGAAUGCACUUAAGGUUUCCAUCACUAGAAGCACACCAACAGUUGCGCAUACAAAAACAAUUAUGCCAAUGAUAAGAAUAAAGGUAUUGUUGAACCCCCAGGCUAGAAGUAGAACCUUGUCAUAAAAUACACUUGAUAACUCUGAAUGGGCCAAACUGAGUGCCCACAAACGCAGAUAUGAAGCCGUAUUAGAUACUGCUCCAAGCACGAACUCUAUGGUAUGUAUAAGCUGGUGAACAAAGACCUCACUGAACUCAAAUUCCUCAUGUUUAUGGGAAUCAUAAUGGGGCUCUAUUUCAAGAGGGUCAUCAGUCCUGUCAACCAGGGCAUAGGAUUGACCUUGGUGCCUUUCCUCAUGUUGCUUCUUCAAUAGAAAUGGCUUUGGAAACAGCAUCCAUGGUACAGCAACAAGGGCUGACAGUAGCAACAAAAGCUGGCAGAAAAAAAUGGGACAUACUAAGAACCAGUAUCUGUUGGUUAAACAAGAAGGGAAAAUUUCAGCACAAUCACAAUCAUAUUAAACCUGAAGGAAUUUCUGGCCAAGAAAAAGUUGGUUGUCACCCAAAUCAUCAGUAGGACUCAAAAACAUGUAUAUCAUCACAUGGUAUAGAUCAGCUUGAGAGCCAGUGCACCAUUUCACAAUUAUCAGAAGUGAAAGGUAACCAAACAAGCUGUUCAAGAAAAUCAUCUGGGGAACAAAUUGGUACCAGAUAUUUAGUUUAUCUCCAAAGAACUUUGCAUUGAAGUAGCUCAUCAUAAUCCCAAGAUUCAUUUGGGCCACUCCUAACAGAAUUGACAUCUUCAUCUUUAAUGAGUUAAGAAAAGGUAACUCACUCCUGGUGCCAUGCCACUUAGGAUCAACACCAAAUGGAUAAGUGUCAUGAACCUUAAUGAGACCAGCAGUAGAAGCAUCUCUGCAUGACUGGUCACGACAAGCAUAGGCAGAGGGACCAAAUAGCUCAAAUGGGACUGAAAAGAAUUCAUUAUAUAUCAAUCCAGUGUAGAUUGAAAAAAUUGCCAUCAUCAUAAUAACAUAACGGCCACUGAAAGUCAUUUCCAUGAUGUCUCCAAGUUUCUGGCUGGACAAUUUCUUUUCCCUAAUAAUGAGAUACAAUGUUACCAGCAGCAAGCAAAUACCAUGGCCCCAGUCACCAAACAUCACGGCAAAAAGGAAUGGGAAUGUAAUAAUUGUAUAUACACUGGGAUUUGCUUCCUGGUACUUGGCAAUCCCAUAUGCAUCUACAAUUUCUUGAAAGGCAGAAGUGAAUUUGUUCGUGCAAAAAUAGGUAGGUGGUGAUUCCUUUGUCUGCAAAACCUGGAAUAUUGCUCCAAUUUGUGAGCUGCUGUCUAUAGUUGCCCGUCGCAAUGCAUUUUGAAUCUGAUCUGUUGCAAAAGCAGGACACCAACCUUCAGCAACCAGACAUUUCUUUGUCACAUCUAUGCUAAGCAUAUUUAAAGUGUGGUAAAUGUAUUUUUCCUUCUUCACCAGAAGAUUCCACUGCUCAAAUUGAAAGCCAAUUGUCUGUAACAAAUUGCUCUGGUGAGCCAAUCCAACAUCUAUGGUGGUCUUCAGCUCUAUAAGUCUUGCAGACACCUCUGUCAUCAUCUGAUACUGUUUGCUUAGGUCCUCAGCAAAUGGAUAACGGUUUGCUCCAAAGGCCUCACAAAUCUUAAGAAUUUUGUUCUUUGCUCUUUCACCAGAGUAGAAAACAACAAAUACAUUUUUCUCAACCUUCUCUCCAGAAACAGGAUCAACAACAGAAUUUUCAACCACAGAUUGCUUCAAAAACACAUUUCCCCUGGUUGCACGAAAAAGGAUCCUUUCAAAAACCAUUGAUUUUUCUCUGGAUACAAGGCCGCUGACAAAGCCCAGCUUAAUUUGCUUUGAUGGAUCCAUUAUCAUUUCUUGCUCCAGCAAUAAUGGACUGUCAAUGGAUCCUUCACCAUGGUUAUGUACUUGAAGUUCUCUUUGCUGAACUGCAGCACUUCUCUGAGCUGAAUAGAAAAGUUCACCAGCCUUCUGCAGAACAAGCUUAUAUUCUACUAGUUCAUUGUAUGAGUGCUCUAACUUUUCAUUAUUUGAGUUUAUCUCUAUCAGCUCAGCUUCGAGUUCGCCAAGUUUCACCUCCAGAUUGUCCAAAUCAAUAUCAUUGGUUAUUGCAGACCUUGUUGAAGGUAACAUCCCAGUCUUUGUCAUGUGUUCCUUAAAGAAACGUAGCUUACGAGCCAUUUCUGCACAUCUUUUAAUCUGAGCAGCAUAUGUCCGCUGGAACGGGCUCUUUUCGGCAUUGAGAUCUUUGAAUUGAAAGAGACCAAGGUCACCGAGAUAGGAGAUUGCGCGAUGAGCUGAUUCGAGUGGGAUGAUCAGUUGUACCAAUUGCAUAGAUUCCGACCGUAGCAGAUCCAUCUUUGGCCAACAUCUUUGCUCCGCCAUUUUUCAUAAACAUUCCGCAGAUCAAUAGACACAAUGUCUGCCUCUGCGCGUAUAUGUGUAUAUAGAGAGAGCCAAUACCGAUAGUAGGGAACUCGCCUGACGAUCAAGUUUCAGGCACCGACAAGACUAGUCCAAUUCAGGUUUUAUGGUUGUUAAGAAUACCAACCCGUGCUUCUUGUUACACCGUCG